GAUGAACGCUGGCGGCGUGCCUAAUACAUGCAAGUCGAGCGAACGGACGAGAAGCUUGCUUCUCUGAUGUUAGCGGCGGACGGGUGAGUAACACGUGGAUAACCUACCUAUAAGACUGGGAUAACUUCGGGAAACCGGAGCUAAUACCGGAUAAUAUUUUGAACCGCAUGGUUCAAAAGUGAAAGACGGUCUUGCUGUCACUUAUAGAUGGAUCCGCGCUGCAUUAGCUAGUUGGUAAGGUAACGGCUUACCAAGGCAACGAUGCAUAGCCGACCUGAGAGGGGGAUCGGCCACACUGGAACUGAGGCACGGUCCAGACUCCUAAGGGAGGCAGCAGUAGGGAAUCUUCCGCAAUGGGCGAAAGCCUGACGGAGCAAGGCCGCGUGAGUGAUGAAGGUCUUCGGAUCGUAAAACUCUGUUAUUAGGGAAGAACAUAUGUGUAAGUAACUGUGCACAUCGUGACGGUACCUAAUCAGAAAGCCCCGGCUAACUACGUG
rnacentral:rRNA from 1 species